rnacentral:rRNA from 1 species
UACAGAGGAUGCAAGCGUUAUCCGGAAUGAUUGGGCGUAAAGCGUCUGUAGGUGGCUUUUAAGUCCGCCGUCAAAUCCCAGGGCUCAACUCUGGACAGGCGGUGGAAACUACCAAGCUGGAGUACGGUAGGGCAGAGGAAUUUCCGGUGGAGCGGUGAAAUGCGUAGAGAUCGGAAAGAACACCAACGGCGAAAGCACUCUGCUGGCCGACACUGACACUGAGAGACGAAAGCUAGGGAGCGAAUGGG